CCACGAAACUGGAAAAAAUGGCGAAGAGCGGAGGGCAAAUGAAGAGAGUAAUAACGAGCGGUUUGAACAAUUUAUCCAUUUUUUCCAGCUGUUCUAAAAAUCCCAUCAGAUAUUUAUCACCUUGCGGGAGUUUGAUGACUGGAGUGUCUGCUCAUAAAAUAUCAACACUUGACUGCAACUUUAUUACCAGAAGAAGCUUCCUAAACAUCUCUGGAACUUUGAUCAGUAAGAGGAAAGAGUACUCGGAGCGCAGAAUAAUAGGGUAUUCCAUGUUGGAGAUGUAUGAUGUGGUGGCCAACAUUCAAGACUAUAGACACUUUGUGCCUUGGUGUAAAAAGUCAGUCAUAAUUUCUAGACGUUCUGGUUAUUGUAAAGCUGUCCUAGAAGUUGGAUUCCCGCCUGUGCUGGAGAGCUAUACAUCCCUUGUCACGAUGGUGCGGCCUCACCUAGUUAAGGCAUCCUGUACUGACGGUAAACUCUUUAACCAUCUGGAAAUAACCUGGCGAUUCAGCCCAGGUGUCCCGGGGUAUCCCAGAACUUGCAUCCUUGACUUCUCUGUUUCUUUUGAGUUUCGCUCACUGUUUCAUUCUCAACUGGCAACAAUGUUUUUUGACGACGUCGUAAAGCAGAUGGUAUCAGCAUUUGAGAAGCAUGCAGAUAAGAAGCAUGGCCCAGAAACCCAGAUCCCUCAUGAGUUAAUGUUCCAUGAAGUGCACCACACAUAGCUGAAGAGAAUCUGGAUGUUCAAUUCACCACUGGAAAUUCAAGAUCAGCAAACUCGUGGAUUUUCGACUGCAAGCCAGCACUCCCAAAGCCACUCCUGAAGGCAAAAGAGAUUCCCCAGUACAAGUUAGCCCAACUCCAGGAGAGGACCACCUAAGCCCCCUAUGCAGCUGCUCAUUUCUUCUGCUGCUUGAGAUGGUGUGAUGUUUGUUCAGAAUUUGUUGGUAUUUAUUUGAAUCCAUUCUUCCCUCUAGCAAUGACAUGUUGCCUGUGCCAGUGGCUUCAACACAAGCCCAAAACCUGAUCGAUCCACUGCCAUGCCUAAGAGUUGGAGACGUGUUCUUUUCCUAGAAUUCAGCACCCUUUUUUCUCCAAACUCAACUUUACACAUUGUGGUCAAAAAGUUCUAUUUUGACUUCAUCGGUUUCCAAAGUGCAUCAGGCUUGUUUAGAUGUUCAUUUGCAGACUUCGGGUGCUGAAGUUUGUGGCUAGGGCACAGGAAAGGUUUUCUCCUGCUGACUCCAUCAUGAAGGUCAUAUUUGUUCAGGUAUCACUGCACAGUAGAAGAGUGCACCACCACUCCAAAGUCUGCAAGAUCUUCCUGAAGGUCUUUUGCAGUCAAAUGGGUGUUUUAUUUGUCUUUUAAACGAUCCAAUGAGCAGUAUUUUCAGAAAAAUUUCUUGGUCUUCCAGACCUCAAAUUGACCUUCAUCGUUCCUUUUAACUGCCAUUUCUUAACAUGAAGAACUGAUGAAAACGGCUAUUGGAGUACGCUUUACAAUCGUCUUGUAGCCUUCUCCUGCGUUUUGUGCGUCAAUUGUUGUAUUUUUCAGAGUGCUAGGCAGCUGCUUAGAGGAGCCCAUGGUUGCUGAUUGUUGAGAGGAAGUUUGAAGAGUCAUAGAAUUUACGCAGCUUUGCAACUCGCUUCACAUGGGGUUUCGUAACGAUGACUGUGAACAAGUCGCAGCCCUAAUGAGCUAAUUAAGGUCUGAGACCUCGGAUAUCUUCAGGUGCCCAAACUUUUGCAUUGUGCUCCUUUCCUUUUUUCACUGUACAAUUGUACAUAACAAAAACGAUACAGUAAUCUUGCAUAAAAAUGCUGAAAAGAAAUGUUAUCUUUAAUUUUAUGCCUUUUGGUGAUCAGUUCAUCUUCUGCUCACUUAACUAUUCACAGUAAUUGACAUUUUAAGAAAGGGUGCCCAACCAUUUGCAUGUCACUGUCAUUCAGCUCCACUACAUACAACUCCAACUCACUUCUUGUACUUUUGCUACUCCUAGCAUUAAGGCAAGCUAUUUUUAA